UACGAAGGGGGCUAGCGUUGCUCGGAAUUACUGGGCGUAAAGGGUGCGUAGGCGGGUCUUUAAGUCAGGGGUGAAAUCCUGGAGCUCAACUCCAGAACUGCCUUUGAUACUGAAGAUCUUGAGUUCGGGAGAGGUGAGUGGAACUGCGGGUGUAGAGGUGAAAUUCGUAGAUAUUCGCAAGAACACCAGUGGCGAAGGCGGCUCACUGGCCCGAUACUGACGCUGAGGCACGAAAGCGUGGGGAGCAAACAGG
rnacentral:rRNA from 1 species